CCGGCGCACGGGUGCGUAACGCGUAUGCAACCUACCUCUAACUGGGGAAUAGCCCCGAGAAAUCGGGAUUAAUACCCCAUAACAUUCAUCUUUCGCAUGUUAGAUGAAUUAAAGUUCCGACGGUUAGAGAUGGGCAUGCGUGACAUUAGUUUGUUGGCGAGGUAACGGCUCACCAAGACUUCGAUGUCUAGGGGUUCUGAGAGGAUUAUCCCCCACACUGGUACUGAGACACGGACCAG
rnacentral:rRNA from 1 species